CCGGGAGGAAUCAACGCGACGCGCGAUUAAACCACGACCUUCCCACAAUGCUUUGCUAACGUAACCCAGUGCGCAUGUUUGUCACUGCCCUGUUCAUAUCACCUCAGGGUUCCAAUACUGAAAAAGCUUUCCUUGCGCCCUUCGGAUCAAGACAUGCCUGCACAAUUUUCCACACAAGUCAUUCCAAAGGAGUUUUGACAUUGUUCAUGUUUGACCCUCAAACUCGUUAGCCAGGUAUAGGACGACAGUAUUUUCUAACUUACACUAUACCUAUUUGACUAAAAUUGCUGUCCAGCAGGAGGGCAGUUGGAUCCAGCGAGUAAUCAAUGAAUCCAUUUCUUUGUUAAGGCUUCUUCAUCACACUCAUCCAAAGACUCAGAUCCUCUCCAGGUCUUUGGGAUGGUCAGGCAGGUCCUCCAGGAGAGCAGGGUUCCUCCUGUAGAUGUAAGCGUUGGCAUCGUCGUCCAGAUUCACCAGCUCUGCCAGCGAGGACACACAGGUGUCGUGGUCUGUCAGCAUCCCAGGCAGGUGGGAUGACUUGCGCUGGAUGCGACAGGAACGACGGACUGGUGUCAGGAACUUCAGAUCCUUGAUGGAGUUUUUUCGCCUGGAACCACUUGCACAUGCCUCACUGUUGAUUGUUCUCUUAACACUAGAAGGGGAAAGAGAUGGACAGAAUUGUGUGGUUAGUUGACAGCCAUCUUCAGUUUAAUAUACAUUUCAAUAUAGAUGUGAAGUAGUGAUGUUCUCCAUGACCUCCAGAAUUUCCAAUAAUUGUAUGGAAGUGAUUUUAAAAUAGGUAUUUUUUUUAUAUCACCUUUGAAGGUAUGGAGUUGUCUUCAGAUUGUAUUUCACCAUGGAGGCUCCCUCUGGUGUAGUCUCCAUCAAGCAUUCGUCAUCAUAAUCACUAUCAACUUUCUCAACAUAACCCUUCCUUACUUUCUGCGCUGAAGCUCCCUCUCCUACUUCACUUUUCACUUCAACAUCCUCAGACCUGUCAAAAUUAUUCUCAGCAAACUCAUUCCUCUCUUCAAAUCCACAAUUUGGCUCGCCCGCCACGAUUUUCUCUUCAGAUUCCCUUUUCUCGUGUGGCUCUAAAAGAAAAAAGAACACGCCAAUGAAUAUAACACAUGACUAAAGUUUACAUGAUAAAAUGUUACUCUUACUUGAUUUGAACCUUGCAGUUGCAUGAUUUUAAUCAGGCAGAUGAUGCCAAGUGAGCAAGUAAACUGUUUGCUGUGAAUGUAAAUGCACUGACCACAAAACUUACCAUCCACACAUGCUGAGGACAUCUCCAAUGCCUCCAAAGCAUCACAAAGGUUGACCACAACCUGUGAUAGGACAGUGCUGGUUAGGUUAUAUUUAAGAAUAAAACUACAGUACCAAAAAAAUAAAUGACUAAACAAAGAA